rnacentral:rRNA from 1 species
UACGGGGGGGGCAAGCGUUGUUCGGAAUGACUGGGCGUAAAGGGCUCGUAGGUGGCCACCUAAGUCCGACGUGAAAUCCCUCGGCUUAACCGGGGAACUGCGUCGGAUACUGGGUGGCUUGAAUCCGGGAGAGGGACGUGGAACUCCAGGUGUAGCGGUGAAAUGCGUAGAUAUCUGGAGGAACACCGGUGGCGAAGGCGGCGUCCUGGACCGGAAUUGACACUGAGGAGCGAAAGCCAGGGGAGCAAACGGG